UUCUUUUGGAACCACCAAAAGAACGGCGGCUGAUUCAUGAGACUAACUAUGUCCGGAAUGAUGAUCAGAAUCGAAUGAUGAAGACUCGACGGCGGUUGACAAGACUUCUGACAAAAGGGAGCUAGUUGAGAAGUUCCAACAGCUUGAGCUGACUUCUGGUCUACCUGAUACCUCUAGGAUCGGAGACAGAAUCAGACUGUCCACCUCUGUGGAUAUGAUAUCCUCAAAUGCACUAGAUUGCUCCACUUCCUUUUAAACUGUAUCUCCAUAAUAAUUCAUCCCGUCCACAGCUCCAGGAGGGUGUGUGCCUGAUGGCUCCGACUCUAUCUGAUGUAAGGUCAAGUGAGUGGUACUAUCGUAGCAGUGUGCUGGAUAGGGUGAGACAGAGCUUCCUCUUAAACUGUACAGCUACACCUAUACCACCAGAGACACUCGGGUGUAUCAUCAGUCCAUAAAUGUGGUGUCUAUUAAUAUAGAAACUAAAACGACAGCUCAAAAUCACAUAGCCUCGAUCAACACGAAGGCAAAGAUUAGCAAGAAAUUGCAGUCUGCAUUGAUUUUGAAGAGACAAUCACAAAAUAAUUUUUAUGUGUUUUGUAAUACCUGUGGUGGAAAAUUAACGAACAUGCUAUUGAUUGAGUUAUACAUGUAGAAUCACGUCCCCUGUGUCAAUUCAUUAUUUUUUGCUUUCAGCAUCUCAUCAACUUUAUCCGUGAAGUCAUCAGUCAGUUGUUGAAUCUGCAGUAUAAUUGUAAUUAUAAUUAUAUGAAUGA